UACGUAGGGGGCAAGCGUUGUCCGGAAUCAUUGGGCGUAAAGAGCGUGUAGGCGGUUCGGUAAGUCGGCUGUGAAAGUCCAGGGCUCAACCCUGGGAUGCCGGUCGAUACUGCCGGACUAGAGUUCGGAAGAGGCGAGUGGAAUUCCCGGUGUAGCGGUGAAAUGCGUAGAUAUCGGAAGGAACACCAGUGGCGAAAGCGGCUUCCUGGUCCAGCACCGACGUUCAGGCACGAAAGCGUGGGGAGCAAACAGG
rnacentral:rRNA from 1 species